AUUGAACGCUGGCGGCAGGCCUAACACAUGCAAGUCGAGCGAGCGGCGGACGGGUGAGUAAUGUCUGGGAAACUGCCUGAUGGAGGGGGAUAACUACUGGAAACGGUAGCUAAUACCGCAUACCAUCAGAUGUGCCCAGAUGGGAUUAGCUAGUAGGUGGGGUAAUGGCUCACCUAGGCGACGAUCCCUAGCUGUUCUGAGAGGAUGACCAGCAACACGGGAACUGAGACACGGUCCAGACUCCGACGGGGGGCAGCAGUGGGGAAUAUGGCACAAGGGGCGAAAGCCUGAUGCAGCCAUGCCGCGGGUGUGAAGAAGGCCUUCGGGUGUGAAAGCACUUUCAGCGGGGAGGCGUUACCCGCAGAAGAAGCACCGGCUAACUCCGUGCCAGCAGCCGCGGUAAUAC
rnacentral:rRNA from 1 species